rnacentral:rRNA from 1 species
UACGUAGGGUGCAAGCGUUAAUCGGAAUUACUGGGCGUAAAGCGUGCGCAGGCGGUUUCGUAAGUCUGAUGUGAAAUCCCCGGGCUUAACCUGGGAAUUGCAUUGGAGACUGCGAGGCUAGAAUCUGGCAGAGGGGGGUAGAAUUCCACGUGUAGCAGUGAAAUGCGUAGAGAUGUGGAGGAACACCGAUGGCGAAGGCAGCCCCCUGGGUCAAGAUUGACGCUACAUGCAC